rnacentral:rRNA from 1 species
AGUGAACGCUGGCGGUAGGCCUAACACAUGCAAGUCGAACGGCAGCACAGUAAGAGCUUGCUCUUACGGGUGGCGAGUGGCGGACGGGUGAGGAAUACAUCGGAAUCUACUUUUUCGUGGGGGAUAACGUAGGGAAACUUACGCUAAUACCGCAUACGACCUACGGGUGAAAGCAGGGGAUCUUCGGACCUUUCGCGAUUGAAUGAGCCGAUGUCGGAUUAGCUAGUUGGCGGGGUAAAGGCCCACCAAGGCGACGAUCCGUAGCUGGUCUGAGAGGAUGAUCAGCCACACUGGAACUGAGACACGGUCCAGACUCCUACGGGAGGCAGCAGUGGGGAAUAUUGGACAAUGGGCGCAAGCCUGAUCCAGCCAUGCCGCGUGGGUGAAGAAGGCCUUCGGGUUGUAAAGCCCUUUUGUUGGGAAAGAAAAGCAGCAGGUUAAUACCCCGCUGUUCUGACGGUACCCAAAGAAUAAGCACCGGCUAACUUCGUG